rnacentral:lncRNA from 1 species
UCACAGCUUAUUGAUAUUCAACACUGGCGUUAAAAGGCAACAAAUCACUGAGGAUCUGUGGAGCGCUUACAAAUGUUCCCACUAUGCAUCUCUUCAAAACAACAUCCGCGCAUUUAGCGACCCGGUUCAGGCAUCGGGGCUAUGGAACCCAUUGCUGUCCUUAAGAAGGCAAUUGGAGAGCCUUAAUGGAGUGCAAGACGAUUUCGGGUUGGUGCUGGGUGUCACAAGUACGGACAUACCAAGUAUGGUUAAUAAAGUGCUUGAAGGCUACAACAGGAGGACUCGUCGAAGUUUCUGCAAGAACUUCUGAAUGCAUCCCAGAAUGUUCCAGUAUCGGUAUCGGUGACGUUAAAAGGCCGCUGGUUUACGUCAAAUGCGCCCAUAGACCAAAACAGGGAAUUAUUCAAGAAGUGCACGAAACUCGAUGAAACCACGGACGCACCACCGGU